AUCUAAUUUGUUUACUAUAAAGACGAAAUAAAAAUGGCUCAUAAAUAAUUCGUAAAAAGAAUCUCGACAAGUUGCCUUUCAUUUUGCCGCCGGCUGAAAUGAGAUAUUUGGAUUAAACGCAACUAAAAUUCUCUGGAAAAUAAAUGGACCUAGCAAAAACAUGCCAUAAUAGUGCGUUGGGCAAUAACUAUACAUACAUGCAUACAUACAUAUGUGUGCUUGGUGCUCACUUGCCGGCCGGCAGCCGCCGCUCGAUCAGCUGUGCCGUAAUAACACGUCUUCCCGGAAUCUCUGCCACUGCGGGUUCGGAGGAGCGGCGGAUAGGGCUCAUUUUGAAGUCAUUAAUUUGACGAUGCUAAAUGAGAAUUUAUGUGUCUACUGCAGCGGCUCAGGCCGGCAAUUUCUCAUGCACAAACAUUUCUCAAUGCUUGACAGAAAGACCAAAAAGAGUCACUUCGGGUCCCGAAACUUGUUCACGCUGUCCAGAUGUCAUUAACACUCGUUGCUCGGCAUGACCAAAAAUGUACAAACAAAUAAACCACCAACAAACAACAAAAA